rnacentral:scRNA from 1 species
CCGCACCGUGGUGGGAACAGAAUAGGCACGAA